rnacentral:ribozyme from 1 species
UGUCCAGUAACUCCUAUCCCUACCUCCCCGUGGUGCCGCCUGGGGUACGAGUAACCGUAGGGAAGUUCGGGUAACCAACCCUGGUGCCUUGGUCAUAUGCUGACAGGGAAGG